rnacentral:lncRNA from 1 species
GCGCCAACACCUGGGAACCCCGCAAGAACCUGCGCUGCCAGGGCCUGUUGAAACAACUCCACCGCGACCUCGCUCGCGCCCCGGGGGGGCCCGUCCGACCCGGCCCCCGAGGUCUCCCCCCCCGGGUUUCUUCGUACCUCCUUCAAAAAGCUCAACAACGUCGCGCUUUACGGUGUUGGGAACAACACCUCAACAACACCCGGAGUCACCGGGGGAGGAUCGUGGUAGAAAACGAAGUGGAUUUACACGGGCCCCCCCUGGACUUCGUUUAUAUCAAUGAGUACAAGGUGGGGGAAGGCAUCAACCUGACGCCGGUGGCGGUUGGUUGCGAAUGUUCCGACUGUUUGACGGAAGGAACGGCCUCCACCGGUUGUUGCCCCGGUGCUUCGCGGAAUAAAUUCGCUUACAACGAAACGGGGCAAGUGAAAAUCCGAGCCGGGCUUCCGAUUUACGAGUGUAAUUCCCGGUGUCGCUGCGGUGCCGAUUGUCCCAACCGAGUGGUUCAAAAAGGAAUCCGUUACGAUCUUUGUAUUUUCCGGACGGGCAACGGAAGAGGUUGGGGGGUGAGGACCCUCCAACGCAUCCGGAAAAACAGCUUCGUCAUGGAAUACGUGGGAGAGGUAAGAAAAAAUAAACGGGGUGUUGUUCGGGUUGGGCGUCAACUCUUGGCCAUCUCUGUCAACUCUUGGCCACCUCUUUGCCAUCUCCAUCAGCUCCUGGCCACCUCUUGGCCACCUUCGUCAACUCUUGGCCACCUUCGUCAACUCUUGGCCACCUCCGUCAAAUCUUGGCCACCUCUUGGCCCCCUCUGUCCUUUCUUGGCCACCUCCAUCCCUCUUGGCCACCUCUGUCCCCUUUUGGCCACCUCUUGGCCACGUUCAUCAACUCUUGACCACCUCUUGGCCACCUCUGUCAACUCUUGGCCACCUCUUGGCCAUCUCCAUCAACACUUGGCCACCUCCCUCACCCUGUGCCCACCUCCCUCACCCUGUGGCCACCUCCAUCAACUCUUGGCCACCUCCAUCAACUCUUGGCCACUUCUUGGCCACCUCUGUCAAUUCUUGGCCACCUCUUGGCCACCUCCGUCCCCUCUUGGCCACCUCGGUCAACUCUUGGCCACCUCUUGGCCACCUUCAUCAACUCUUCGCCACCUCUUGGUCACCUCUAUCAACUGUUGGCCACUUCCGUCAACUCUUGGCCACCUCUUGGCCACCUCCGUCAACUCUUGGCCACCUCCAUCAACUCUUGGCCACCUCCAUCGCCUUUUGGCCACCUCCGUCAACUCUUGGCCACCUCUAUCCCCUCUUGGCCACCUCCCUCACCCUGUGGCCACCUCCAUCAACUCUUGGCCACCUCUGUCAACUCUUGGCUCCCCCUGUGGCCAGCUUCAACACCUCUUGACCACCUCCCUCCCCCUGUGGCCACCUCCUUCCCCUCUUGACCACCUCUCUCCCCCUGUGGCCACCUCCAUCAACUCUUGGCCACCUCCAUCAACUCUUGGCCACCUCUGUCAACUCUUGGCUCCCCCUGUGGCCACCUCCAACACUUCGUGGCCACCUCCAACACUUCUUGGCCACCUCCCUCCCCUCUUGGCCACCUCCAACGCCUCUUGGCCACCUCCCUCACCCUGUGGCUACCUCCAUCCCCUCUUGGCCACCUCCCUCCCCCUGUGGCCACCUCCAACACCUCUUGGCCAUCUCCAUCAUCCCCUGACCACCUCCCUCCCCCUGUGGCCACCUCCCUCCCCCUGUGGCCACCUCCAUCCCCUCUUGGCCACCUCCCUCCCCCCGUGGCCACCUCCCUCCCCCCCUGGCCCCCCCCCCCCCCCCUUGGCCCCCUCCCUCCCCCCGUGGCCACCUCCCACCCCCCUUGGC